ensembl:snoRNA SNORD24 Small nucleolar RNA SNORD24
UGCCGUGAUGACAAUUAUUUGCUACUCUCGACUAGAUGGAUGACGAUAAUAACACCACCAUGUUAACAUUUCUGAGGCA